GCGAACCGGGGGAACUGAAACAUCUAAGUACCCCGAGGAAAAGAAAUCAACCGAGAUUCCCCCAGUAGCGGCGAGCGAACGGGGAACAGCCCAGAGCCUGAAUCAGCUUGUGUGUCAGUGGAACGGUCUGGAAAGGCCGGCGAUACAGGGUGACAGCCCCGUACACGAAGGCACACAGGCUGUGAGCUCGAUGAGUAGGGCGGGACACGUGAUAUCCUGUCUGAAGAUGGGGGGACCAUCCUCCAAGGCUAAAUACUCCUGACUGACCGAUAGUGAACCAGUACCGUGAGGGAAAGGCGAAAAGAACCCCGGCGAGGGGAGUGAAACAGAACCUGAAACCGUGUACGUACAAGCAGUGGGAGCCUUCGUAAGAGGGUGACUGCGUACCUUUUGUAUAAUGGGUCAGCGACUUAUAUUCUGUAGCAAGGUUAACCGUAUAGGGGAGCCGAAGGGAAACCGAGUCUUAACCGGGCGUUAAGUUGCAGGGUAUAGACCCGAAACCCGGUGAUCUAGCCAUGGGCAGGUUGAAGGUUGGGUAACACUAACUGGAGGACCGAACCGACUAAUGUUGAAAAAUUAGCGGAUGACCUGUGGCUGGGGGUGAAAGGCCAAUCAAACCGGGAGAUAGCUGGUUCUCCCCGAAAGCUAUUUAGGUAGCGCCUCGUGAACUCAUCUCCGGGGGUAGAGCACUGUUUCGGCUAGGGGGCCAUCCCGGCUUACCAACCCGAUGCAAACUGCGAAUACCGGAGAAUGUUAUCACGGGAGACACACGGCGGGUGCUAACGUCCGUCGUGAAGAGGGAAACAACCCAGACCGCCAGCUAAGGUCCCAAAGUCAUGGUUAAGUGGGAAACGAUGUGGGAAGGCCCAGACAGCCAGGAUGUUGGCUUAGAAGCAGCCAUCAUUUAAAGAAAGCGUAAUAGCUCACUGGUCGAGUCGGCCUGCGCGGAAGAUGUAACGGGGCUAAACCAUGCACCGAAGCUGCGGCAGCGACACGUAUGUGUUGUUGGGUAGGGGAGCGUUCUGUAAGCCUGUGAAGGUGUGCUGUGAGGCAUGCUGGAGGUAUCAGAAGUGCGAAUGCUGACAUAAGUAACGAUAAAGCGGGUGAAAAGCCCGCUCGCCGGAAGACCAAGGGUUCCUGUCCAACGUUAAUCGGGGCAGGGUGAGUCGACCCCUAAGGCGAGGCCGAAAGGCGUAGUCGAUGGGAAACAGGUUAAUAUUCCUGUACUUGGUGUUACUGCGAAGGGGGGACGGAGAAGGCUAUGUCGGCCGGGCGACGGUUGUCCCGGUUUAAGCGUGUAGGCUGACUUUCCAGGCAAAUCCGGAAGGUUAAGGCUGAGGCGUGAUGACGAGGCACCACGGUGCUGAAGUGACAAAUGCCCUGCUUCCAGGAAAAGCCUCUAAGCAUCAGGUAACAUCAAAUCGUACCCCAAACCGACACAGGUGGUCAGGUAGAGAAUACCAAGGCGCUUGAGAGAACUCGGGUGAAGGAACUAGGCAAAAUGGUGCCGUAACUUCGGGAGAAGGCACGCUGACAUGUAGGUGAAGCCCCUGCGGGUGGAGCUGAAGUCAGUCGAAGAUACCAGCUGGCUGCAACUGUUUAUUAAAAACACAGCACUGUGCAAACACGAAAGUGGACGUAUACGGUGUGACGCCUGCCCGGUGCCGGAAGGUUAAUUGAUGGGGUUAUCGCAAGAGAAGCUCCUGAUCGAAGCCCCGGUAAACGGCGGCCGUAACUAUAACGGUCCUAAGGUAGCGAAAUUCCUUGUCGGGUAAGUUCCGACCUGCACGAAUGGCGUAAUGAUGGCCAGGCUGUCUCCACCCGAGACUCAGUGAAAUUGAACUCGCUGUGAAGAUGCAGUGUACCCGCGGCAAGACGGAAAGACCCCGUGAACCUUUACUACAGCUUGACACUGAACAUUGAGCCUUGAUGUGUAGGAUAGGUGGGAGGCUUUGAAGCGUGGACGCCAGUCUGCGUGGAGCCGACCUUGAAAUACCACCCUUUAAUGUUUGAUGUUCUAACCUGGCGCCGUGAUCCGGCGUGGGGACAGUGUCUGGUGGGUAGUUUGACUGGGGCGGUCUCCUCCCAAAGUGUAACGGAGGAGCACGAAGGUCAGCUAAUCCUGGUCGGACAUCAGGAGGUUAGUGCAAUGGCAUAAGCUGGCUUGACUGCGAGAGUGACGGCUCGAGCAGGUGCGAAAGCAGGUCAUAGUGAUCCGGUGGUUCUGUAUGGAAGGGCCAUCGCUCAACGGAUAAAAGGUACUCCGGGGAUAACAGGCUGAUACCGCCCAAGAGUUCAUAUCGACGGCGGUGUUUGGCACCUCGAUGUCGGCUCAUCACAUCCUGGGGCUGAAGUAGGUCCCAAGGGUAUGGCUGUUCGCCAUUUAAAGUGGUACGCGAGCUGGGUUUAGAACGUCGUGAGACAGUUCGGUCCCUAUCUGCCGUGGGCGCUGGAGAAUUGAGGGGGGCUGCUCCCAGUACGAGAGGACCGGAGUGGACGCAUCACUGGUGUUCGGGUUGUCAUGCCAAUGGCACUGCCCGGUAGCUAAAUGCGGAAGAGAUAAGUGCUGAAAGCAUCUAAGCACGAAACUUGCCCCGAGAUGAGUUCUCCCUGAGACUGUAAGUCUCCUGAAGGAACGUUGAAGACGACGACGUUGAUAGGCCGGGUGUGUAAGCGCAGCGAUGCGUUGAGCUAACCGGUACUAAUGAACCGUGAGGCUUAACCUUACAACGCCAAAGAAGU
rnacentral:rRNA from 1 species